rnacentral:rRNA from 1 species
UACGAAGGGGGCUAGCGUUGUUCGGAAUCACUGGGCGUAAAGCGCAUGCAGGCGGAUCAGUCAGUCAGGGGUGAAAUCCCGAGGCUCAACCUCGGAACUGCCUUUGAUACUGCUGAUCUUGAGUCCGGGAGAGGUGAGUGGAACUCCGAGUGUAGAGGUGAAAUUCGUAGAUAUUCGGAAGAACACCAGUGGCGAAGGCGGCUCACUGGCCCGGUACUGACGCUGAGAUGCGAAAGCGUAAAAAGCAAACAGG